GAUGAACGCUGGCGGCGUGCCUAAUACAUGCAAGUCGAGCGAAUGGAUUAAGAGCUUGCUCUUAUGAAGUUAGCGGCGGACGGGUGAGUAACACGUGGGUAACCUGCCCAUAAGACUGGGAUAACUCCGGGAAACCGGGGCUAAUACCGGAUAACAUUUUGAACCGCAUGGUUCGAACUUGAAAGGCGGCUUCGGCUGUCACUUAUGGAUGGACCCGCGUCGCAUUAUCUAGUUGGUGAGGUAACGGCUCACCAAGGGAACGAUGCGUAGCCGACCUGAGAGGGUGAUCGGCCACACUGGGACUGAGACACGGCCCAGACUCCUGCGGGAGGCAGCAGUAGGGAAUCUUCCGCAAUGGACGAAAGUCUGACGGAGCAACGCCGCGUGAGUGAUGAAGGCUUUCGGGUCGUAAAACUCUGUUGUUAGGGAAGAACAAGUGCUAGUUGAAUAAGCUGGCACCUUGACGGUACCUAACCAGAAAGCCACGGCUAACUACGUGCCGGCAGCCGCUGUAA
rnacentral:rRNA from 1 species